UAGUUCGCUCGACCGAGAUGAUUGGCAUCAUUGUUCGACUGUUUGUGCUAAUUGAUCGUUAUUUCAUGCAUUGUGAUGGCUUUUACAAAUAACAAUAUUCGGUGGUUCCCUUCUGUACGAUGUAUGAGCUUGUUUGCUGUUGUCACGCAUGAAAAAAUAUAUGUGUUCAAAACAAAAUAGAUUUUGUUAGUGUUUAUUACUACUAGAAUACGCAAGCAGAAAUGGAGGGUUCGAGUAAAUCCAAUGAAGAUAUACCCGAUCCAGAUUUCUUCAAUAAUAUUAAAGUUGCCAUUGAGAAAGAGCUCGAUAAAAUGAAGAAAAUUGUUAAUAAUAUCAACCAAAUGAGAGUGGAAGCUGCUUAUUUGGAAUCUGACCUGGUGCUGAUGAUUGAUGCGUCCACAUGGCAAGAUAUUUCUGAACUCAUUGGGAUUGGAACAUCCUCAAUGACUGAUGUUACAAUAAAAGAAGAAAAUAAAUAAAUACAAAUAAAGUAAAUGCUG
rnacentral:lncRNA from 1 species